CUGAUUUUAGGAUGGAAUAGCUCUCCUAAAGUGCUCUCAAAGCUAUAUGUGAGCUAUAGAGUGCUUGUCUGUCUAGUUACGUUGUGUUAUGUCAAUGAUGAUGCACUUAUCACAAAAUGGCAAGUAAUUUUAUAGUCCUUAUCAGAACUGAGUAUAAAACGAAAGCAGCGCAGAAGAGAGGUGCUCAUUUUGUCAAAUGAACAAAGCCACCUAAAAGUUUUUACUGUAUUUUAAAGUAGUUUAAUUUGAUUUUCCCAUCAGAAAGUUAUGUUGUUUGACUCUCAAGAAGAUAAAGAAAUGGAAUGGCAGCUGGAGAGGACAGGAAGAUUUGCAUGACAGUAGAACUACUGAUGUGAUGGACAGGAGCCAUGAAGUCAUUUCAAUGCCUACUUGUAAUCUAAGUUAUCCAGCCCUAUGUGAGUAUGUAAGACGGUGUUCUCCACCAGCACCGUCUUUAAAGAUGUAGAAGUGUCUGCAGGCUUAAAUGCAUCUCCUUUUUAUUUCAUGAAUGAAGAAUCCAUCAGAAAUCUCUGCACAAAGGCACUUCCAGUGGUAAUGGGCUGAUACACCAUUGCUGCAAACGCUGCAGGUCUGAAGUUUAUCUGGUUGGUUAACAGUGCGGGAUGAGAAUUUGUGGCAGUUUCUCACUGAGUUUCUCCAAGCACAGAGGAUUUGAACUGUAAUAAAUGCUGGAAGACAUCGGAUAGCUGCCAGCCUGUGGAUCUUUGUCCCCGGUUCCCAAGUAGCAGACAGGUCUUGUUAUCGUCUGGGCAAACCUGGAAGUCAAACUUUUCGCUCUCCUGCGGUGUUUGUUUGUCAUCUGUGCUGUAAAUGUCUCCAGCCAGCUUACUCCAGCGGGUGGGGAAUGGCAUAUAGCUUCCCAUUUAAACACCAGGGUGGGAUGGGUAUUGCCAUCUGCGAUUCCUUCCAGCAGCCCAAGCUCUCUCCUCAGACACUAUUUUUCUUGGAAAAUCCAGAAAUGUGAUUGGAUGAUGGAGCCAACCAAAUGAACAGCCUGGGAUUCAAGAAGGUAGCAGCACUGCAUGAACAGCACAUUAAAAUUAAAGAAUGCUGAAAGCAAGGCUGGACUGAGACAGUUAAUGAGCAAGCUGUGGGCAAGAAUAUGAUAAAAUAAAAUCCUUAAAAAAAAAAUAGGCAGAAUAUUUUGUAGAAAUUAAAUUGAACGAUUCCUAUGGCCAAGUAGCAAACACAGAAAAAAAAAAAUGAUUUAUAAUAAAUUCAUUGUUCAGCCACCUAUAACUAAGAAGUGAAAUAAUGUCCAUUGCUCUUUUCCUGAAUUAUUUUAUCCCUGCUUUAGGAUAAUGAGCAAUCUUGCUGUAACCUGCAAGAUAUGAACAACAGAUUGCCUUCGCAAGUUCACAGCAGACAUAAGGGAUUGACUUUUAAUAAACUUAAUACAUUCAUGAUAAGCUCUUUAUAAAUCCAUCAAAAUCCAGCAUUGUUUCCUAACGUGUGAGAAAGCCUUAUUUUUGCAGGCAUAAUGCCGCAGUUUAGAAUCAGUAUUGGCUUGCUCCCUCAGUUUGAUCUUGGAGUGACAAUGCACAUACAGAUAUUUGCUGCCAUAGGAAGUAAAACCAGAGCUGAAACAAGUCACAAAAUGUAAAGGAGCUGGGUUAAGGACUUUGGAAAGCUGGAAUGGGGCUUGGUGGCUUAUGAUUUGCUUUUGUAGCCACACCACUCCAUUUUUUCUACAGUUCAUGCAUAAAUGCAGUGAGCAUUCCUCUAACAUGUUAUUAUGUUAUAGCCAGCUUAAGUAUUUGGGUGAUCGCCUGCAUAAUUAUUAGGUGAUCAUGCAGCCUCCAUGGUAAACAGCUUCCAGUAAUGAAUACCAAAGAAAGCAUAUUCACCCAUAGGUGAAAUUCUAACAUAAACAAGUUGAACAGUAUGAAGCUGGGGAAGAAGAGGAAGGAAUGAAGAGGAAGGAGGCCAUAUGUGCUCAUGAGGAAAUAAGGGUUAACUGGAGAUACACCCACAGAAAAGCUGUAUGACAAAGCAACAUGAAUAAUUCAAACCUUUAUUUAAGAAGAACGGAGCUAAGAAACUUCUGAACAGGGAGAAAAUACAUCUGCUUCACUAAAAAUUAAGGAAUCUUGUGUCAUUCAUGUGAUUACAUGGAAUUACCUACCCAAAAGAAAAAUAAUCAGUGUUUAUUUUCUAGGAAAAUAAUUGCAUUAUUGGCACAAAAUAUAUAAGUAAUCCUUGAGGAGAAAAUAGCUCUACAAUGAAAAUUUUAUUUCCCCAACCAAUUCUAGAACCUUAUAAAUUAUGCGUAGUCUUGCAUUAGACUUUAAAAAAAAGGGGACUAACAUCCUCAUCACAUUAAGGUUAACAUCUCCCAGGGCCACUGCCUGCUAUGUCCUGCCUGCUAUCUAUCAUGCUAAAGAAUUACUGGUUGCCUUUUAAAUGAGUGAAUGUGUCCUCUGCAGCAGCUAUAUCCAGGCUGGAUUCUUACCCUUUACUGGUAGAGAGAUCUUGCAUUUGCCUGAGCAAGUCACUGACCUGCAGCCAGUCAACUCCUUUCAUGCACUGCAAUACCGAGUAUGUGCAGUUUCUCAACUUGACCACUGGCCUCCCAUCACUCUGUGCCUCAGCCAUCUCCUUAUGGUACUUCUUUAGGUAGUCCUGUGUGGGGCCAGGAGUUGGACUUGAUGGACCCCUGUGGGUCCCUUCCAACUCAGGCUAUACGAAGAUUCUAUUAUUUCCUACUUCCUAUAGAUUUUAAAAUAUUACAGACUUUAAGGCUCUAGAGAGGCAUGGGAGCUAUGGAAGUAUCUAAGACAGGUACACAACAAAGAUAGAUUAGUCAACAACAAAUUACCUCACAAUCACUGAAAAUUUUUGCACCAACUUCUUGAUUUUUUACUGAGAGUCACCAUUUCAUCUUACUGAGAGUCAGAAUCAACCUCUGUUGAAUUCUUCUAUAUUAUUUUUGACUGUCAGAUGCUGUUUAGCAGAAAGGAGCCAUGCUAACUUUAUCUGUACAUACAAAAUUUAGUACUCUAAUGAAUAUGGUGAUAACGAGAGAUGGAAAAUUACUAAAUUUCUGGAAUAAAUUCAGUAGCUGAUGGGUUUUACUUAUCACUCACUCAGUCUGGUUGUAAAAUAUCAGCUGAGUCAAUGAGGAGGAAGAAGGAACAGAUAUGUCAAUUUUAAAUACCAGCAUUGUUUAACUCAGGUGUACAUUCCGUACUAUUACACAAUGAGGUAAAAAUAUCAAGUGACUGACUUUCAAAUUCAGUCAGUCAUGAGCCUGAAGUACCUGGAAUCCUGAAUGAUUCUGCAGAUGGAUGCAAUUCUUUUUAUCUGUGAGGCAUCUUACAAUCUUAAAAUUGCUUUACUGAAAGCUUUCUCCUCUGGAUAAUAAAGAUGAGUAACAAUAAGACAAUCAUGAGGACAGGUAACCCCAAAACCUCCCAGUUUGUUUAGAGCAGAGGAGUACCGGAUAAUCCUGACAAGUUCUUCAGUUAGGUGGGGAUUUAUUACAAGGAAAAAAUAGAGCCUCAUAUGGAAUCAUAGGAAAGGUACUUUCGAAAUUGCAGUUAUAAAUGCCAAUAAACAUUCACCUGGAACAUGCUGAAAAAGUAGAGCUAGCACGAUAAGGCAGAAAGACCCGCUGAAGAAAUGUGUCUCAAUCACAUUCAUUAACUACUGAAGGUUGUUAUGAAUUAUGCCCUUUCCAUUGCACACAGUGCUUUGAAUGUAAAAAAUAAAUGCAGUAGCAGAGAAUACUGGAGAGAUAAUGAAGAAGUUUGGACCCCCAUCCCUCCUGACUGACUUUCAGCUGAAAGUCAGCUGCAUAGCACGUAUGUCUAAUGUCCACAUAAUGAAGUGUCCAUUUCAAGCACAGCCAGGGACUAAAAGCUCAAGGACUUCCCACAAGGUACUUUAUUUUUCAAAAUUCAUUAAUAUGCUCCCUGCCCAAAUAUCAGAACUGUACAUUUCAUUUGAUAUAAUUGGCACCAAACACAAAGAAGACUCAGCUCGAGUGUUUUCUGUCAGUCUUCUGUUCUGCGUUCAGACAAAAAGGACAGAACAUGGGUGAUUUCAGUUCAGGUUUGGUUUAUUCAGAAAAACAUUUCCUCUAAGUUGCAUAUCCUAGCAAGCAAAGCCCAAGAAUUUCAGCAAAAAUGCGAAGAAAUAUACAGGGGCUGCUCCAAAAGUAAUGCCUCCUAUUUUAUUAUGUUAGCCCACAAUGACAGUCGGACAUCAGUAGGAUAGCACUAGAGGAUGAACCUUCCCACCAAUAUUUCAUUGAAUUUUGCUGCUGUGUGACAGAUGGCAGCAGAGGGGCAGUCUGACAAAAUGGCAUGUGCCAUAGGAGAGCAUAUAACACUAAGGUGCGUGAUUGAAUUCCUCCAUGCAGAAAAAAAUGGCAUCCACUGACAUUCAUUAAUGCUUGCUGAACAUUUAUGGAGACCACAGAGUGGAUGUGAGCACAGUGAGGAAGUGGGUGGUGC